GGCUGUCGUCAGCUCGUGUCGUGAGAUGUUCGGUUAGUCCGCUAACGAGCGCAACCCUCGUCGUAUGUUAUAUGUGUCAUACGAGACUGCCGGUAAAAAGCCGGAGGAAGGUGAGGAUGAUGUCAAGUCAGCAUGACCUUUAUAUCCAGGGCUACACACACGCUACAAUGGUCUGUACAAUGGGUAGCCAAGCCGCGAGGUGGAGCCAAUCCUGAAAGCAGGCCUCAGUUCAGAUUGCAGUCUGCAACUCGACUGCAUGAAGCCGGAGUUGCUAGUAACCGCAGGUCAGCAAUACUGCGGUGAAUACGUUCCCGGGUCUU
rnacentral:rRNA from 1 species